AAGAGCAAACCAAACCAAUUUUGGAACAAAGAGUAAACAACCAAGCCAAAGAAAUAAUAAACCAAAUCAAAAGUCAAGAAUGGCAUCAAAUCACAGAAAAAUUGCAAAUCAAAUACAAAAAAAGUAAAGAAAUCAAGAAGAACAGCACCUUAACGAAUCAAAUAGCAAAGAAAAUGAACAAAAAAGCACCAAAGAAAGAAAGAAAAUA
rnacentral:lncRNA from 1 species